rnacentral:rRNA from 1 species
AGAGUUUGAUCCUGGCUCAGGAUGAACGCUGGCGGCGUGCUUAACACAUGCAAGUCGAACGGAAAGGCCUUGUGCUUGCACAAGGUACUCGAGUGGCGAACGGGUGAGUAACACGUGGGUGAUCUGCCCUGCACUGUGGGAUAAGCCUGGGAAACUGGGUCUAAUACCAUAUAGGACCACAUCUUGGAUGGUGUGGUGGAAAGCUUUUGCGGUGUGGGAUGAGCCUGCGGCCUAUCAGCUUGUUGGUGGGGUAAUGGCCUACCAAGGCGGCGACGGGUAUCCGGCCUGAGAGGGUGUACGGACACAUUGGGACUGAGAUACGGCCCAGACUCCUACGGGAGGCAGCAGUGGGGAAUAUUGCACAAUGGGCGCAAGCCUGAUGCAGCGACGCCGCGUGGGGGAUGAAGGCCUUCGGGUUGUAAACUCCUUUCGCUAUCGACGAAGCCUUCGGGUGACGGUAGGUAGAUAAGAAGCACCGGCUAACUACGUGCCAGCAGCCGCGGUAAUACGUAGGGUGCAAGCAUUGUCCGGAAUUACUGGGCGUAAAGAGCUCGUAGGUGGUUUGUCGCGUCGUCUGUGAAAUCCCGGGGCUUAACUUCGGGCGUGCAGGCGAUACGGGCAUAACUUGAGUGCUGUAGGGGAGACUGGAAUUCCUGGUGUAGCGGUGAAAUGCGCAGAUAUCAGGAGGAACACCGAUGGCGAAGGCAGGUCUCUGGGCAGUUACUGACGCUGAGGAGCGAAAGCAUGUGUAGCGAACAGAAUUAGAUACCCUGGUAGUCCAUGCCGUAAACGGUGGGCGAUCGGUGUAGGGGGGGUACAAAUAAAUUAUAACAGUAGAAAAAACAAUAAGCGCCCCGCCUGGGGAGUACGGCCACAAGAAUAAAAAUCAAAAGAAAAGACGGGGGGCCGCACAAAAAGCGGAGCAAAAGGAUAAAUAAAAAGCAACGCGAAGAACAAUACCUAGGCUGGACAUAUACAGGAUCGGGCUAGAGAUAGUCUUUCCCUUGUGGUCUGUAUACAGAAGGUGCAUGGUGGUCGUCAGCUCGCGUCGUGAGAUGUUGGGUUAAGUCCCGCAACGAGCGCAACCCUUGUCUUAUGUUGCCAGCACGCUAUGGUGGGAACUCAUGAGAGACUGCCGGGGUUAACUCGGAGGGAGGUGGGGAGGACGUCAAAUCAUCAUGCCCCCUAUGUCCAGGGCUUCACACAUGCUACAAUGGUCGAUACAGUGGGCAGCGACAUCGUAAGGUGGAGCGAAUCCCUGAAAGUCGGCCUUAGUUCGGAUUGGGGUGUGCAACUCGACCCCACGAAGUCGGAGUCGCUAGUAAUCGCAGAUCAGCAAUGCUGCG